AGAAUAUAAUUUUUGCCAUCUUAAUUAUAUUGUUAAGUGUGUUGUUGGCAUGCUGUCUCAUUGAAAUAUACCUCAGAUCCUCUUUUAUCUUAUUCAAGAUUUUCAGAAAAGUAAUUUAAAAAUCUGUUAAAGGUUUAUUCUCUAAAUAAAUAGAAUAAUUGGUCCAGUGAUCAAUGAAGAAUGUAAAUGAGAUGUGGUAAAAAUGCCAAUGAGAUGUGGUUAGAAUGCCAAUGAGAUGUGCUUAGAAUGCCAAUGAGAUGUGGUAAAAAUGCCAAUGAGAUGUGGUUAAAAUGCCAAUGAGAUGUGGUAAAAAUGCCAAUGAGAUGUGGUAAAAAUGCCAAUGAGAUGUGCUUAGAAUGUAAAUGAGAUGUGCUUAGAAUGCCAAUGAGAUGUGGUUAGAAUGCCAAUGAGAUGUGGUUAGAAUGUCAAUGAGAUGUGGUUAGAAUGCCAAUAAGAUGUGCUUAAAAUGCCAAUGAGAUGUGCUUAGAAUGCCAAUGAGAUGUGCUUAGAAUGCCAAUGAGUUGUGUUAAUACAACUAAUGAGAUGCGCUAAGAAUGCAAAUGAAAUGUGGUAAAAAUGCCAAUGAGAUGUGGUUAUAAAGCUAAAGAUAUGCUGUAAUAAUGCUAAUGAGAUGUGGUAGUAAAGCUAAUGAUAUGUGGUAAUAAUGCUAAUGAGAUAUGGUUAUAAAGCUAAAGAUAUGUUGUAAUAAUGCUAAUGAGAUGUGGUAAUAAAGCUAAUGAGAUGUGGUUAUAAAGCUGAUGAGAUGCGCUAAGAAUGCAAAUGAGAUGUGGUUAUAAAGCUGAUGAGAUGCGCUUAGAAUGCAAAUGAGAUGUGGUAAUGGAGCUAAUGAGAUGCUGUAAGAAUGCAAAUUAGAUGUGGUAAUAGAGCUAAUGAUAUGUGCUAAGAAAGCUAAUGAGAUGUGGUAAUAAAGCUAAUGAGAUGUGGUAAUAAUGCCAAUGAGAUGUGGUAAUAAUGCCAAUGAGAUGUGGUUAGAAUUCCAAUGAGAUGUGGUUAGAAUGCCAAUGAGAUUUAGUAAGAAUGCCAAUGAGAACUAUCCACCAGAGAUUGAGCCACAAGGCUGCAAGAACUAUCUUUCAUGUGAAUUUUGUGUAUACUUUGUAAGCUCCCCUACAGCUGAUAGUUAACAUUUUCAUCAAAUUAUGAUUUAAAUUAUCCUUUCUUUAAAUAAAAUUAUUUGGUAGUUAAACUUUUUUAAAUAAACAUUGAAAAAGCUAAAUUUUCAGAAAAAAUUACAUUAAAUAGGCACUUUUGAAUUUUUUGCCUAUUUAAAAAAAAAUAUACCAGUAAUGGCACAAGGAUAGAAGAUGUGUGGAAUCAAAUAGAUAACAACUAUAGUGAUAAUGAAAUAUUCUAAUAAUAACCAGUUUUUUUAUGUCUUGACCUAAUGGACUUAUUGUAUGAUGAUAUAUGCGACCAGUUAGAAUAGUGGACAAUGAAAUAUUCAAACAUGGAACUGACUGAAGUCAGAAUUGAAACCAGCAAGUGAAUUAUUUACAACGGCCUUGGAACCAGCAAGUGAAUUAUUGACAUUUAUUUUGAUGUGACCAGUAUUCAUGUGGAUGGACAGUACUAGUGGACUAUAAACUGAUAAAUCUCACAGAAAUGCACAUCACAACUGAGUCUGAAGCUGUUACAUACAAAAGACAAGAUAUCCAGGAAAUAAGAAUUGUAUGUGAUCUAUUUAAAGAUCUUAGGACAGUAGGACCUGGAAGUACUAUAUUACCAACUUCAAGAUUAACUGAGCUUGAGAAAUUACAAAUGAACUGAUACAGAAGAAGAGACUUUGCCAUGUGGAUGAACUUGGAAACAAUUAUUGACAAACAAUAUAGUGUAUUAGUAUUCUUGUAAAAAUCAAUAGAGAGAGAGAGAGAGAGGAAGGAUAGGAGAGAGUCAGUUGUAAAGAUUUACAGACAUGUCGAUUACAUUAGAAUUUCAGAGGCCUACAGUUCUCCCUUAAAUAUUCAUAGUUAAUACAUGAAGUAGUUAAAGUAGAGGACUUUAGUGUGACCAGUGAGAACAAUCAGGCAGCUGCCAUUGGUUUAAAUCUCUUUUUUCGAAGAUGUUUUGGUUACAUUAGAAUAAAUCUGUGAGGAAUGACAAAAAAAAUGUAAAAAAAAUAAUUUGUGGUAUUUUGUACAGUUUCAUUAUGCAAUCUUGAAUACAUUUAUGAUUACUAUUUAUAAAGAAGUAUUAUCAUUAGAAUGAGGAUGGAAAAUGUUUAAACAUUUAUUUGAGACAAGAGUUUUGCAUUAUUUCAUUAAAAUAAUUAAAUUCUUUUUCUGUGAAUGAAGGACAAACAGGGAAAACAGACAAAGCUGCUAUUCUAUGAAUUUCAAAUUGUAUUUAUUUACAUUUGAUUGAUUAGUUGAAGAUAAACUACAAGUAUUCAGCAUAGUACAAAAUUAAGGAUGCACUGCAAGUGUAUAUUAUCUUUAUAGUUAUCAUCACACUAUGUCCAAUCUAGAUGUACAACACUCUUUUUUAUAGUGUUCUGUAAAUUAUUUAACAGGAACACCAGUUGUGAUGAAUGGGAAGACUGGCAGGCUGAGAAAUGGGUAUAAGGGGAGGGAAUACCCCUGCUUAUCUUUUCAUACUGGUUAGUUCCUUUGGUAAAGGUUUUGUACAAAUGUUGUUCAUAUCAGAUGUAUACGAUUUGAAGAGAGUUGUUAUUUGGAGCUCUGUAAAAAAAAAAAAAAAAAGAAAAAAAAAAAAAAAAAAAAAAAAAUCAGAGUUCUAGAUAAUAACUGGGUGGUAUGAAAUGUGGGUUAAAUAUUUUCGGUAUAUUUACAAUGAUUUUUUUUUUUUUUUAUGCAUCUGAUAUUUUUUGUGUAUAAAAUGUUUUGUUAUUUUUUACAGAAUUGCUUUAGUUGCCUUCCUGACUAACAUUUAUUGGUGAAUGGAGAGACUAGCAGGCUGAGAUUGAGGCGUAAGGGGAGGGAUUACCCCUGCUUUUCUCUUCAUACUUGUAAAUUCUGUCACUGCACGGAAGGUCAACAAUUAAGAAUAUAUAAGUUAUCAUUUUUUUAUGUAUCAAUGUAAUUUAGAUAAGUUAUAUCAGAUGUAUAUAAAGUAAGAUGAAAGUAUUCUUUAGAGCUCUGUAAAAAAAAAAGCUUGUAAACAGAGGUCUAGAUAAUGCAUUAAGGGGUUUGGUUUGGCAUGGGGAUUUCAAAUUUUAUUUACAAGUCAUCAUCUACAAAAAUGCAUCUGAUAUUAUUUGCCCCAAGCCCAAUUUUGUGUCCCAAAUAUAAUGACUACAGAAUAGUGGUGACAGCUUGGUCAACACCCUUAUUUUAAGUUUGAUUCACCCCUCCUUUCGUCAACCCACCCCACCCCACCCCCACCCUUUUAAUAAGUAGUUAUAGGUUAAGGUUUCUUAUUGUGAUUAAUGAUUGGUUGAUUGAUUUUAAUUAAGUGUCACAGAAUUAUUAAGAUACUAAUUUCUGUGUAACAAGAUUAAUCUCCAAUAUUUGAAGGUGUUUUUGAUCAAGUUUUAUUAAACUCAAAAUGUUUAGUAUUUCAUCAGCUCUGUCGAAUACAAAAUAGAAAUUUACCUCUAUAGAUAUAUCUGCAUUUUAUAUGCUACGAAAUUUUGCCUGUUUUACAAAGAUUUAUCUAACAAAAUGAAAAACCCUGUCCAUGAAAUUGAUUUAAUUGAACUUUCACACUGUUGAUAAUAACCCUGUUUGUUCAUGACAAUUUUACAUGUGGUAGUCUCGAUGUAAUAUAUAGUUCUUCCACUAACAACCCUGUUUGUUCAUGACAAUUUUGCAUGUGGUAGUCUCGAUGUAAUAUAUAGUUCUUCCACUAACAACCCUGUUUGUUCAUGACAAUUUUACAUGUGGUAGUCUCGAUGUAAUAUAUAGUUCUUCCACUAACAACCCUGUUUGUUCAUGACAAUUGUACUCUUGAAAUAUCUGUUACAAUUACACACCCAUGCUUUUUCCCUAUAGGGUUUUUUAAUGCAGGGUGCAUGUUUUUCUAUGUUACCAUAUGUUUGUCUCUCUUUUUAAUAAAGAACAAUUACAUAGAAA